rnacentral:rRNA from 1 species
GCGAGGGGGGAGGCAGGGGCAGCGGUAAGAGGAGCGUGGGGAACGUUGGUCGGGAGAACUGGGCUUAAAGGGCGCGUAGGCGGGCUGUCAAGUCCGGGGUGAAAUCUGUCGGCUCAACCGGAAAAGGGCCUUGGAUACUGAUGGUCUGGAGGGAGGUAGGGGUAUGUGGAACUUCCGGUGGAGCGGUGAAAUGCGUUGAUAUCGGAAGGAACGCCGGUGGCGAAAGCGACGUACUGGACCUCUUCUGACGCUGAGGCGCGAAAGCUAGGGGAGCGAACGGGAUUAGAUACCCGGGUAGUC